rnacentral:rRNA from 1 species
UACGUAGGUGGCGAGCGUUGUCCGGAUUUACUGGGCGUAAAGCGCGCGCAGGCGGUUCUGUAAGUCCUGGGUGAAAUCGCCCGGCUCAACUGGGCGGGGGCCUGGGGGACUGCGGGACUGGAGGGGCCUAGAGGCCGGUGGAACUCCCGGUGUAGUGGUGAAAUGCGUAGAGAUCGGGAAGAACACCAGUGGCGAAGGCGGCCGGCUGGGGGCGCCCUGACGCUGAGGCGCGAAAGCGUGGGGAGCGAACAGG